rnacentral:rRNA from 1 species
GACGAACGCUGGCGGCGUGCUUAACACAUGCAAGUCGAACGCUGAAGCUCAGCUUUUGUUGGGUGGAUGAGUGGCGAACGGGUGAGUAACACGUGAGUAACCUGCCCCCUUCUUUGGGAUAACGCCCGGAAACGGGUGCUAAUACUGGAUAUUCACUGGUCUUCGCAUGGGGGUUGGUGGAAAGGGUUUUCUGGUGGGGGAUGGGCUCGCGGCCUAUCAGCUUGUUGGUGGGGUGAUGGCCUACCAAGGCUUUGACGGGUAGCCGGCCUGAGAGGGUGACCGGUCACAUUGGGACUGAGAUACGGCCCAGACUCCUACGGGAGGCAGCAGUGGGGAAUAUUGCACAAUGGGCGCAAGCCUGAUGCAGCGACGCCGCGUGAGGGAUGGAGGCCUUCGGGUUGUGAACCUCUUUCGCUCAUGGUCAAGCCGCAACAAUGGUUGUGGUGAGGGUAGUGGGUAAAGAAGCGCCGGCUAACUACGUG